UCUUGAACUUGGGUACGUUGCUAUCUUCUUUAGCAUGUCCAUAUUGCCCUUAUCCUACUCCUCCCCCUCCGUGUCCCCCAACAUUUCCACCAAAACACCCUCCACAUGUAAAGCCACCUUUCCACCCCAAACCACCGCAUCACAAGCCACCCCAUGUCAAACCACCGCACAAGCCCCCGUAUGUUCCUAAACCACCUUAUUCCCCAAGCCCUAAACCGCCUUACGUGCCAAAACCACCUCAUACUCCAGUCCCUAGGCCACCAUAUUUCCCCAAACCACCUUACACACCAAGGCCUAAGCCACCAUAUGCGCCAAAACCACCUUAUACGCCAACCCCUAAGCCACCAUAUUUCCCCAAACCACCUUACACACCAAGGCCGAAGCCACCAUAUGUGCCAAAACCACCUUAUACGCCAGCCCCUAAGCCACCAUAUUUUCCCAAACCACCUUACACACCAAGGCCUAAGCCACCAUAUGCACCAAAACCACCUUAUACGCCAACACCUAAGCCACCAUAUUUCCCCAAACCACCUUACACACCAAGGCCUAAGCCACCGUACGUGCCAAAACCACCGUACACACCAAGGCCUAAGCCACCGUACGUGCCAAAACCACCAUACACACCAACCCCUAAGCCACCGUACGUGCCAAAACCACCUUACACCCCAACCCCUAAGCCACCGUACGUGCCAAAACCACCGUAUACCCCAACUCCUAAGCCACCGUACGUCCCAUCGCCACCUUAUACCCCUCGCCCUAAACCACCGUAUGUACCAUCACCACCUUAUACCCCUAGCCCUAAACCACCGUAUGUGCCAUCACCACCAUAUACCCCAAGCCCUACCCCACCAUAUGUACCAUCACCACCGUAUACCCCAAGCCCACCAUAUGUACCAUCACCACCGUAUACCCCAAGCCCUAGCCCACCACCACCACCAAGUGGAACACCGUGUCCUCCGCCGCCGCCACCAAAGGUGAGACCGUACCCUCCACCACCAUCACAAACUUGUCCCAUUGAUACUCUCAAGCUUGGUGCAUGCGUCGACGUGUUGGGCGGUCUAAUACACAUCGGUAUAGGCAGCAGUGCAAAGGACGCUUGCUGCCCCGUGCUGCAGGGGCUACUGGACUUGGAUGCUGCAUUAUGUCUUUGCACCACCAUUAAACUUAAGCUUUUGAAUAUCAAUCUUAUUAUACCGAUCGCCCUUGAAGUGCUUAUUGACUGCGGCAAGCAUCCGCCGCCCGGAUUCCAGUGUCCUGCCUAAUUGGUGACGCUUUCCAGCCAUGCAAUUGAUGAAUGCGACUUGUUUGUUUUGGAGAUUUUGUCAAAGAUAAUGACAUGUAAGUGCAUAAAGUGGAAGUACUUCAUGAUAUCGAAGUUUGUCUUAAUAUAUGUUUUGUUCCUCUUGUGCAUAUCAAACCAAUUAUCUUUGGAGCAAAAUCUAUGUUUUGAUGGAUCCAUACUAUCUGCAAGUUUGGGAUCAUGGGGUGUCAAAUAAUCGCUUAUUUGACCCAAAUUUUAUUUGAGUUGUCCAAUUAGUUGUAACCAUCAAAUAAUUUAUUAUCACACAUAAUUUUGAGAGUAAAUUCUCAAUUGACCAUUAAAAAAAAUAAUCACAACCGACAAAUUCAAAACAGAUACUAUCAUCGUGGAAAGAAAUAUUAAUUAUGCAUUUGGAUUCUGAUAUAAGAUACGCUGAUCUUUUGAUGAUAUCCAUUUUCGCGCCUACAUAAUUCAGAUUCAACCACAAUUUUAUUGUUAUCCAAUAGCUAUUAAUAAAAUAUUAUAUUAAAAAAAAGCACAAAACUUGACCGGCACUGAAUUUAUAUUCAUUGAUUAUACUAAUGGAACCUUUCAUUUGAUGAAUUUAAUUGUUCAAUGAAAAAUAACUAGCUGAAACAGUUGAAGACGGGGUGAUUUCUCACCUCGAAAAGAGAGAGAAUUCCCCCAAAGUGCCGCUUGAUAGGAUUUGAUUUAAUUUAAUUUAAUUUAAUUUUAUGCCUUGCCCUUAAAUAAUGUGGAGUAGAGAUUGCUCUUAUUAUUGAUUCAAAAUCAUUAGAUAUGCAUUAUUAUAAAAACUUUAUAGUAAUUAUUCAAUGAAAGAGAAUUAUUAUUAAUAUCAUUUUCUUUCCAGACUGAUUAAUCAAUGAUUGUUUUGCAGGAAUGGAGCAUUAUAUGAAUUUCAGUCCAAUAACAUUUAAACAGCUCUCUUUAAGAAUGAAUUUGAGUUUUAGGCUACACAAGAUAAUCUGCCGUAUCCCUUGAUUUAACAUUCUAGUUAUUAAUUGUACGUACACAAAAAAAAAAAAAAAUCAUGGAGUGAUUGAUUUUUCCCAAACAGUUAUACUGUAGAUCAUUAAAGAAAAUAUAAAAAAAUAAAAGUUGAAACGAGUGGCCUAAACAGUAAACUUUGGGUGAAAGUUACAGAUAAUAUUUAAUUACGAUGGAGUUUUUUUUCCCCCCUUUUUUGCAUUUCUGAAACGUGUUGCCUGAUUUAACAGAGAAAAGGGAAAAUUUGAUGGUUGACACUUGGUAAUGAUUUAUAAGUAAUUUAAGGAUUUUUCUAUAAUGCUGUAUGUACUUUUACAGCAUUAAUAGUGCAGUUAUUAUAAACCCUUUGAUUUGAGUGAUUUAAUCUUAGUCAUUUAUUUAAUAUAAUAAAUAAAUAAGUAAUUAAUUAAAAGCUAGCAAGUAACUUGUAAGUUGUAGGUAAAUAUUAGUUUUUUAAUUUUAAAUUAAUAUUAACUUUAUAGCAUUUAAUAUAAGUUAUCAGAACGAGAUGCAUGUAAUCCAAGUUGAUCAUCGAGUUCAUGAUCAUGACCCUGCUGCUUGGUCAAUUGAGAUCUUUCCGACAGUACCACAUGAAAAUUCAUUUUGUCGAGGAGCUGCUGAAGUUGUACAGGAAGAAACAGAAUCCAAUCUCUCUAGUCCGACCGGUACAUUUCUCCAGGUCGCCGCCCACCAGGGUCUGGCCGCGUUGGCAGUCGAAUUUGGCGGUGGCAUUCUCUGCUGGAGAACGGGAAAAUUCUCUUGUGCUCCGUGGAACUCUGUAGUGCAGCUGGAUUCAUUGCUUGCUGUGGUGGUUAUAUCUUAGAACGUAGAGGCAAAGCUAAAUUGGCUUGCUCAGAUUAUGACAGGAGUGGGAGGUGUUGCCACUGCCAGUAGAUUUAUAAAUGGUAUGAAAAAACUACAUUAAUAACUGUGCAAGAUCAUGUGAGAAGGAACCCGUCGAGCUGGAGAUGAUCAAAUCAAGGAAGGCAUUGAAGGGCGAGGCGGAGAGAAGGAGAACAGAAUCAGAGGCUGAGAUGACUCAGAUGACGAUGCAAACUCAAUUGCAGAUCGUCCUUUGUUGAGGGGAUGAAUUCGAGUCGAAAGAGGAAGCGCGAUGAAGAAGACGAAUCACGAGUUUCUCAGAGGUAAAAUUCUUGAACAUGUCAAUGGUUAAUCAUUCAGGAACUUGAGACACUCUUUAAGAAUCCAAUUUCCUUCAAGAACAUGAGAGAAAAAACCGAUGGUUAAAUUUAUGAGAUAAAUAAAGAGAUUUUAUUUUAUCAAAUUUUUUAUCUCUUUUUUAAUCUAAAACAACCUUUUCAACCGGUUUGUUAACCGAUUAUAGUAUUUUUUAAAUGAUUAAAUUUUUCAUUAAUAAAAAUAAUGUGUACCGUUGAUUAGAUCUAAUGGCAUAUAUUUCUUACACUAUUGAUGCUGUAAAAAAAAUUACGGUAUCAUAAAGGGACUCGUAAUUUAAUCCUAAGUGUUUAGGGAGAGCAGUGACCUCUUGAAAAAUCCUCUUGUUACACUUUUUUUUUUCAUUUUUUUCUACUCCUUUAUUUAUUUAUUUUAAAUCCUUAAUUAAUUAUAAUACAUAUAUAUAUUUUUUUUUCCAAAAAAGUUUCUAUCAAAUUGAUAACAUGUAGAUACACAAUGUCAGAAGGAUUUCUAUCCUUGGUAUCAGUCAUUGUGGAACAAUUCAAAUGAAUAUACAGACAACGAGAAAGAGGUAUCAAUACCCCCUCAGAUUUCUCACAAUUACUAACACAUGCGAGGAUUGCUUUUAUUAUUAACAGUUACAAACCCCCUCUAAAUGGAGUUAGCUCUUUUCGAUAGCGGAAAGCAGUGGUAUUACCAUCGUGGUGGGGCAAAAUUUAGAAACUGUAUUUAGGAUAGACUACGAUAAAAAUAUAAAAAGACAUCAACUUUUUCAAGAAAACGGGCGACGAGCUAGUUUGGUUGGGAAUACUAUAAUUUUUAAAAUAAUUGUAAUUAGUAUUACAGUAAAAAUUAUUAAUUAUGAAGAAAAUCAAUUAAAUAUUUAAUAAAAUUUAUUUUUUAAAAAUGUUAUGAGUUAUAAAAGCAGUCAUAUAUAUUUAGUAAAUUUAACUGUUAAACUACUGUAAGAAUAUAAAUGAUUGAAUUAGAUGUUAAGAAAAAUGUAUUUAGAUAUUUAUAAACAUGUAUAUAUAUAUAUAUAUAUAUUAUUGUGUAUACAUAAUAAUUGAUAACUAGAAAUAAAUAUUUUAUAUUAUUAAUUUUAUUUUUAUCUUGUUAUCUCAAUAUAAUUGGUAAUAAUAAUAAUCUCUUUAAAGUUAAUGAUUUUAUUACCUAAUUAAUAAGGAUAAUUUUAGAUUUUUAUAAUUUAUAUAAGGAUACAUAUGAAAUUGUAUACAAUAUAAAGUUGAUUUUCAAAAUCAAAUUUUAAAAAGCUACUCAUUUCUUACUUUUCAAGUGCAUCCGAAAAAUUGGAUAUUUGGAUCUGGUUAAAUUUUAUUUUAAAUUAAAAACUAAAUUAAAAAUAUUUAUUAAAAUUAAAUUAAAAAUUAAAAAUUAAAAUUUAUUUGUCAAUUUAUGUUGUUGUUGUAUGCUAUUCAUGUUGAAUUAUUAAUUGUUGAAUUAUGAUUGAAUUUUAUUUGAUAUUAUUAGGUAAAUUAUUGAAGGUUAUUUUAAAUUAAAAGUAAAUAUUAAAAAUUAAAUUGUAUUUGUGGAUCUUUAUGAUGUUGUUGUAUGUUACUCAUGUUUAAUUAUUAGUUGUUGAAUUAUGAUUGAAUUUUAUUAGGCAAAUUAUUGAAUUUUUAAAUUAUAUGUUAAAUUAUUGAAUUAUGACUUUUGCAGAUCUAGAUAUCCAAAAUAUCUGCCCACAUCUGUUGCGGAUAUAACCUGUAUCCGGAUUCACAUAUUUUUUUGCGGAUUCAGAUGUAGAUCCAAAUGUAGAAAUGUAAUGCAGAUAUAGAUGCAGAUGCACCUAUAUCAGGAUUCGGAUCCAGAUUUUGUCAACCCUAUUUCCCGCACUUUAAAAUUCUAGACCAAAAAACUACUAAUAUAUAUAGGGAAUAAUCUUUGAGUGAUAAUUAUAGAUUAUAAGAUUGUGGGGCUUUGAUUUUUUUUAAAAUUAUAUAAGUGUUUAGUUGAAUUUUUAUUGAAAAAAAUAAUUUUAACUUGGGUUAUUUAUGUAUUUUCAAUUGAAUAGGGGUUUAUAAAUACUUUUGUGGGGGUGUUACUAACAAUACUUCUUUUUCUUUUGGGGCGUGGGGCGUGGGGCGUGGGCUAUAAGUAUGGGUCAUGGCGAUCUAGCAUGUCCUCAUUGGCACCCUAAAAAAAUCCUCUUAGAAAUUUCAUUUUCAAUUAUAUUCUAUUUAGUGGUAAAGAUAAUAUUUUUUUCCCAUUAAAUAGACACUAAUUUCAUUUAUAAAUAUCUCAAGUUUUAAUAAUUUUCUCACUCUUGAAGUCUUAAUAUUUGUAUUCUUCUCUUCAAACUUUCUUUAUUAUUUAAUUUCUAUAAAAAAAUCUAAAAGAGAAAAAGUAAGAAAAACCUUAUACUUAGAAAAAGUAAGAAAAAGCUUAUUAUACAUAUAAGCUUUGGGUGGAGCGAUUAGUUUGAGAAUCCUCAAAAUUAUUUGAAGUGGGAUAAAAUUUUAUUUAGAGUAAUGAUAUAGUCACAAACUCUUGUACAAACUUAUUUUGUACACACUGAUGUGGCACGAUAAAAUUGGCUAAAUUAAAUAUCUCUUGACCCACAUGAUUUAUUUCUAUUAUUUUAUAUUUUCAUUCAACUAAUGAAUUAAUACCACAUCAGUUUGUGCAAAAUAAGUUUGUACAAGAAUUUGUGACUGUAUCAUCACUCUUUUAUUUAAUUUAUUUUCCAUUAUGUUGUAUCCUAAUUUGGUUGCUAUGUUUAUUACAAGAAUUUUGUUUUCGAUUAUAGAAUUACUAUGCAAGUAAAGUAAGUUGCAAAGAGAGAGAGAAAAUGUAAGUGGGUUAAUCUUAAUUCUAUUAAUAUUUGUCCUUAAAUAUGUAAUAUAAUAUAAGCAGAGUUUUAUGAGAUUAAUAAAGGGAUGCCAAUAGUCGACUGGUUAGGCGGGACCCCUACCUGUAAUAUAAAUCAUAAAAUGAAGCGAAUACACAAGGAGGGGGACAUAAACCAAAACCUCAAAGAGUAACUAAAAAUACACACGAAUAACUAAAAAAGAAUAAAGACAACAAAAAGAAAAGGAAAACCAUAAAUGCCAGCAUCUUAUGUGAGAAACAAUCUAUGCAUCCAAAUGGAGAAUACCAGAUAAGUCUGUAGGAAGAUCUUAAGGACAUAAGAAACACUGACUAGAUGAGACCAUGCCCAAUUGACCAAAAAAUUAGCAGCAGAGGUAGCCUUAUGAAACAGUCAGCUCUUAUAGUUUAUACAUGAGCCAACCUACUAAAUUUUUCAUUCAAUGUUAAACUUAUCUUGCCAAUUAUGCCAAUGACACAAUCUUGGGCGUUUAUAUAAUUUCAAUAAGAGUGAUAAAAGAUUUUGAUUGCAACAAAGUAUUUAUACAUAUUGUAUUUAUAUCAAUUAAUUGAGUAAUGACUCUAGCAUGGUUUGAACCCUCCCGACUAUAUAUAUAUAUAUAUAUAUAUAUAUAUAUAUAUAUAUAUAUAUAUAUAUAUAUAUAUAUAUAUAGAAAUGUUUAAAUCCAGAAUUUUAAAGUGCGGAAACGUCCGGGAAAAUGUAUAAACCGUGCGGUUUAAGCGCUUUAAGUUUUCCCGGACUUUUCCCGCACUUUAUGAUCCCGGAUAAAAAAACUACUAUAUAUAUAUAUAUAUAUAUAUAUAUAUAUAUAUAUAUAUAUAAGAGUGCUGGUAUAACAAUAUUGUAUAAUAAAUAUUUAAUUAGUUUAACAUUCGUAUUUAAUAACCACCAAUAAAAGUCUUGCAUUUUGAUUAGAUAAGGUAUAAAAGGGUUGCAGUUUUUAUUUCAUAUUGUAAUGAUAGUACUUUUAAAAUACAGUAUAAAAAUAAGGAUUAGAUUCCUCUCCUGGUUUAAGCAUUCAUGACCUUUUAAUAAUCUUAUUCCAUAUGUCAUGUAGUAAUAGUGUAUGGAUAGAAUAUAUUUUAAAUUUAUUAACCACCAAUGAACACAUAAAUUUUUAUUUAGAAGAAGUUCAAAUCAACAGAUUUUAAUCCGUGAACAUAAUAGAGAUCGAAGAGAAACUACAACUCAAAUAAGAAAAAAAGCCUUACAACUUCAUUUAACAAAUAUUAAAAAAGCCUUACAACUUCAUUUAAUAAAUAUUAAAAAAGCCUUACAACAUUUAUAUUAGAUUCACGAGCAACAAGGGAUCAAUAUUGAACAUGACAUGCAAUUAUUACAUCGAGACAUGAAUGUGUCUUCAAGUAUUAUACGAACUUGAAGCUCUCACACGUUAUUGUUAUUCUUUUAUGAGAAAAUAAACGAAACUAGUAACAUAUAAAAUAUUAAUAUGGUCAAUUAAUAUAUAUAUGUAUGUAUGUAUAUUUCCCUCAGAAACUGCAUAUGCGUGGGGCGUCACCAAUUAAUUAAUGGGUGGACACUGAAAUCCUGCUGGCGGAUACUUGCCACAGUCGUUGACAAGUACUUGCAGGGAGAUGGGUACGAGAAGAUUGAUGAGAUUUGGAGCCUUAAUUCUAAUGGCAGUGCAAAGACAUAUUGCAGCAUCCAAAUCUACUAGCCCAUGAAGCAAUGGGCAGCAUUUCUCCUUAGCACUGUCGCCAAGACCAAUGUGAAUUAAACCACCAAGAACAUCGACACAUGCACUAAGCUUGAGAGCAUUAAUGGGACAAGUUUUUUGUUGUUUUGGUGGCGGUGGGUAUCUCACGUUUGGUGGUGUUGGUGGCGAUUUUACAACUGGAGGAGGAGUUGGUUUUUCCUUUGGCGGUGGUGGUGGUUUCACAACUGGAGGAGGAGGAGUACUGGGUUUCACCUUUGGUGGUGGUGGUGGUUUUACAACUGGAGGAGGAGGAGUGGUUUUCACCUUUGGUGGGGGUGGUGGUUUUACAGCUGGAGGAGGAGGAGUUGGUUUCACUUUUGGUGGUCGGGGCGGCGGCUUAGGGCUCGGCGAAUGAGGCGGUGGGGGACAAUUUGGUGAAGAAGGAGGAGGAGGGGUUGGUUUGGAGCAGUCACAAGCUAAAGAAGAGAGCAAAGCACCCGAGUUCAGGAGGACAAUCAAGAAACUAGUUAAUUGAUAUUUGCCCAUGAUGAAAUAAUUUCGAAACUCUCUAAUGAACUAGCUAGCUAGGGUUUGGAAUGCAUUCACUAUUGAAUGAGUGCCUUUUUAUAGAGAGUAAGAAGUUUUGGAUUUUUAAAAUUUUUCAGUUUUAAUUCGUUGAUCCAUAGACUUAAGGGCAAAGUACAACCCAAGCCAACUCACGAAUGGACAGAUAGACAGACAUUAUAUAUUUUUUUCUUUAAUGCUUGGAACAUGGGAUUGAUUAUCGUUUUAAGGAAGAAGACUCGAUUGAUUAUUUAACCAAAAAGUUGGUAUAGUUAAUUAAGCGUAUUGUUCUUAUAAUUUGAAACGUAAAAUUUGCAAUUAAUCUCUAGCAAAUGCAAAACUUAAAACUCUAAUAUAACUUCUGCAUUAGAAUUUCGAAGGGCGUGGGGACCUGUACUCUCAAUUUCACAUGAAUAUUUGCAAGCUGUUCAAUCAUUGAAGACGAAUGCAAGCAACAAGCAUCUUGCGGGGACACUUCUUCAUUUUUCUUUGGGCCGUUACAUGAUAACAAUAUUUAUAGUUAUAUUAUUAGCCCAUUAACUAAUCUUAAUAUUAGAUAUUUUAACCUAUUAACUAAUCUUAAUAUGAGAUAUUUUUGUUAGUAUUUUUUACUAGUCCUUGUCAUGUAUAAAAUAGACCCACUAGUACACAAGUAAGAGUCUAUCUCAUGUAAAAAUUAACUCAAGAGUUGAGAGUUGUCUCAAGUUUAUAUUUAAUUCAAUAAGUUUUCUCAACCUAUCUGAGAUUUUUUCCUUAUCAUCCCCAUCACUUGCAAACCAAUAUAUCUUUUGUUUUUUUGGUCUUUAUCAUGCGGAAAAAUACAUAGUAUGUGCCAACUUGUGCAUAACUAUGAAUCUAAUACCAUAUAAAGGUAUGUGAGUCUAAUUCAUACUCUAAAAUUAGCUCAAGAGUUAAGGAUUACCUCUAAUUUAUAUUACUAGUUCAGUAACUAAUCUCAGCAUAUGGUGGCUCCACCAGAGGAAAGUGUUAUGCACCUAUAUACAUAAAUUAUAAUGAGUAAAAUUAUUCAUGAUGAUACAACCACAUUAAUGAAUAAUCAGUAGUAAUUGAACCAUGAAAGUGUCAUUCUUCGUUUAAGGGUGCCUUUGACAUAUUGUUUGCACACACAAAAAAAAAAAAAAAAGCGCUCAAAAAAGCCCCAAUUAAGGAUGUCCAUUGUACCCACAUAUGUCAGCAUAUGUGAGUUCUGAAACUCUUCAAAAAAAUACCUUUAUAUUAUUCGGAGUAUAAAUUUAUCUUGGAGAGUUUGGAGCAGAUUUGAUUUGGGUUUUCGUAAAAUUUAAUAUUCAAACAACUACUACUUCUUUAAAAGCAUAAAUAAACAAAUAAAUAAGGUGAUUAAUUUUUGUUUAAUUAGUGUGGUCAUUAAUUAUAGCGAUAUUGAAAUUUUAAUGCAUGAUCUUCUAAGAUUUGUUUUAGUUUUGAGAUUUCAGAUCAUAGUUGUUUGAUUUAUAUUUUAUUAUUUUGUGUUUUCAAAUCUUCGUGUAAAAAUGUCAACUACGCUUGCGCAAAUCUUGCUUUGUCCAUCUUUAAAAGAUCUGAAGAAGCUUCGAUUGCUCCCAAACUUUUAGAAAGAAUUCAAAAAUAUUAAUAUAUACCGCAUGAUAUGCGCUCACUGUUUAGAAAAAAAAUGUACUGCUAGAGUUUAUUUUUAAAUAUUCUCAAACUGCAUUCUGUUUUCUUACUAUAUUUUGGGAAAAUCAGUAUAAUUGAGAUGCGAAUAAGGUCGACAAUUAUACUAUUAAAAUGCAGUACAUGUGUUAUUUACGCAUUGCUUAUCUAAAUAGUUUGUUUUAUUUGCGCAUUGUUUAUAUAUAUAUAUAUUUAUUUAUUUAUUUAUUUAUUUAUUUAUCUAUAAUGUAUAACGAGGAUUCCCAAUCUUUUAAAUAUAAUAAAUAUGAAAAAUCGUUCUUCGUUUCUUGCAUGGCCAUUUUAAUAAAGCAGGUUAAGUUUAGGGAUGGCAAAAUCCUCCACGGGUUUGGGGCCCCAUGGAGCCCCACCCCAAAUGGAGAAAUUUUUUAGUAAUUUUUGGGGAAUGGGGUGGGGAAUGGGGGAAAAGUAAUCCCCAAAUUGUUAACGGGGUGGGGUUUGGUAUUGCACUCCCCACCCCACUCCCACCCCAAUCCCCAUUAUAUAUAAAUAUGUUUUUAAUUCUUAUUUAAUAAUUUGUAUUUUAUCAACUAUAAUGUCAAUUAAUGAUUUUUUUUAAUUUUUAUGUAAUAUAAAUAAAAUAUGAAUAAAAGAAAAUUCUACAAUAUUUUUCAACUUUAAAACAUUAAUAUAUUUUCUUUUCUCUUUUAAGGUGCUGCUUUCUUUAAAUAUUUUUCACUUUUAAUAUCAUUUUAAGAUAUUGUUUCAAAUUUUUAGAGAUUUUUUUUUAAAAUUAAAUACUUUAUAAUAUUGUGAUGAUUUUAUCUUAAGUCUCUAAUUUUUAAUUUACUGAAAUCAUAUUUUUAUAUCUACUAUAAAAUAUGUAAAUGGGGAAUGGGGUGGGGAUGGGGGAAUCAUUCCCCACGUGGGGAUUCCCCAUCCCCAACCCACUAAAUUUAUUGGGGAAUGGAGGCAAAAAUUUUUAAUGGGGUAGGCAUCCCCACCCCCACCCCGCCCCAUUGCCAUCCCUAGUUAAGUUAACGUGAAGUUACAUUUUUGAUCAUUCUGCCAUCUGAAGUAAGACCACAAAGUCGUGACUAUUGUGUAAAAGAAAAGUGAAAACAGAUCAAAGGUGAACAGUUUGACCUAUAAUUUCUCUGUUAACAAAACUAUAAUUAUUUUUUAUCGAACCCAAAAAAAGUAAAAAAAAAAAAAAUGUGUCCAAUAAGCGUUUAGCCUCAAUAAUUGCAUGCAUGCACAGAUAAUGUUCAUGAAAAAUCGACAGUGUUGAUGCAAGAAUUUUCGCGCACCAGCAGGAAGGCCGAAUAACCUUGGUGGUGAGGAUCCUGGGUAAAAUACCGGAGAUGGAAAAUGCGGUUGCUAGCUUUUGAAUUGCUUUAAUUUCAUAGAUACGAAAUAUAUCCAAUGAUACAGUAAAGAAAUAACAUAUGAUAGUAACAAGCCAAUUAGCUAGAUCUCUUCUUUUUAAGCUGACCUUGGUCUUUGUCACCUUGAUGAUAAGAUCCUUCGUGGUAGAAAUAGUAAAGAACAGGUGAGGAUCUCCUCAUGAAGCUAUUUCGAAGUCAAUAAGUAAUGGUGAGGUCAGCAAGAACCUUCUCUCUUAAUUAGUUGCUCUUCCCUCUCUCCUCGAUCAUCUCUUGAAUUAUAUGGGUGCUAUCUCCACGAGUUAAAAGACUUAUUUGUGUUCUUUUUUGUAGAGAAAAUAAAAUAUUCCUGUGCUACGUUCCUCAUUCUUAAUCCACCAUAGUUCUUCUGUUGGACAUUUGUUCUAUUUUCGUUAGUUGUGAUUCCUCAUCCUUAAUCCAUAACUCUUCUAUUGGACACAUGUUCUCCUUUCGUUAGUUAUGUUGAGAUUUCUUAAUGAAAUUUUACUAUAAGAAAAAAAAAAUAGUAAGUAGAGAUUAAUAAAAUCACCUUAAGUACUUUUUUGAGAUAAAAGUCACCUCAUGUACUUUAGAAAUGAUUAACUUUGUUUUUAAGUUAUUUUCAUAUUUAGAUAUUGAGCAUGCUGUCGUAUAUUCUAUAUUUUUUUUAUAUCAACAUGGUGGCAUAUUUUUUUUCUUUUUUUUUUUUGGUAUAACAGAUAAUAUAUGUGCCCUCGCCCCUCGCUCUUUGAAAUUCUAAUGCAUCGGAUACAAGGUAAUUCAUAUAAAAAAGACAAUUUUAAUAAGAUAAUCUUCGAAUACUCUCAUUGAUGAUGUGAACCCUUACCCGCAGCCUCUGCAGUAAAGCCUUCACUAGCUGGCUAAGCCCUUAAUUAGUAAUGACACAUUAAUAAUAUGAUCAAUCGACCAUUGAUCUUCUUGGUAUCACAAUGAAUCCCAUGUUUCAAGCAUGCAAUGAAAGAAAAAGGUAAAUGUCCGUUUAUCUGCCCAUUUGUGAGUUUGCUUGGAUUUUCCUUUAAGCCCUCGAGUCAAUGAAGCAAUCAAAAAUCAUAAAAAAGUAAAACGACCCAAAUACAAAACUCUCUCUAUAAAAAGGCAUCCAUUCAGUAGUGAAUGCACACCAAACCAGCCAGUUCGUUAGGGAGCUUUUGAAAUUAUUUCAUCAUGAGCAAAUAUCAAUUAACUAGUUUCUUGAUUGUCCUCUUGAACUUGGGCACUUUGGUCUCUUCUCUAGCUAAUGACCACUCAUAUAAUCUUCCUCCUCCUCUUCCUUCACCAAGCUGUCCCCCACCGCCUCAGUCGCCGAGCCCUAAGCCGCCGCCGCCACCACCACCAAUUGUUUACCCAACUCCUUGUCCCCCAGUUACAAAACCACCACCCACGCCAGAGGUGAAACCCACUCCUCCUCCUCCAGUUGUAAAACCACCACCCACGCCAGAGGUGAAACCCAAUCCUCCUCCUCCAGUUGUAAAACCACCACCACCACCACCAAAACAACAAACUUGUCCAAUUGAUGCUCUCAAGCUUGGUGCAUGCGUCGAUGUCCUUGAAGGUUUAAUUCACACUGGUCUUGCUCGUGAUGUUAAGAAGAAAUGCUGCCCAUUGCUUGACGGGCUAGCAGACUUGGAUGCUGCAAUAUGUCUUUGCACUGCCUUAGAAUUAAGGCUCUAAACCUCAUCGAUAUCCUCGCACCCUUCUCUUUGCAAGUACUUGUCACCGACUGCGGCAAACAUCCGCCAGUAGGAUUUCAGUGUCCUACCAAUUAAUUGGUGACGCCCCAUGCAUACCAUGCAGUUUGCGUGAAAAGGAGAUCUUAAUCGAUCAUAUUAAUAAUUGCAUGUUACUAGUUUCGUUUAUUUUCUCAUAAAAAAAUAAUAAUAAUAACGUGUGGGAGCUUCAAGUUAGUAGUACUUGAAGGCAUGCACGUGCGUGUGUGCGUAUGCCUUAUCCAUCAGUGAUAUCGCUUAUCAGUUGUAAAACCAAUAUUGUAUGUUGUGCAAUCCAAAUAAGGAAAAAAAAAAUGAAUGUUGUGGAAUAAAUAUUAGGGAAAAGGACAUUCAACCCUUCAACGUUUAGGAAAAUAGACAAAAAACCCUUCAACGUUUCAAAAAGGACUUAUAACUCCCUUUCCGUUAAUAAACACCGUUUGUUUUAACAGUAAAUUAUUUUUAAUUUUUAAUUACUAUUAUACCCUUAUAAUAAAUAUAAAUUAAUAUAUUGAUUUGAGACAUGUCACAAUUAAUAAUUUUUUUUAAACUAAAAAUUGAGAUACAAUUACAUUUUUGCCCAAAUUAUUUGCUACAAAUUAUACAUUUCUAAUGAUCAAACCUUUCAUAUGUGAUUAUUACUAAUAAAACGAAAUUUGAUUAAACCCUUUUUCUUUGAGGAAUCAAAACCAUAUUAUUAUUGUUAGAAAGGUAUAAUUUAUAGUAAAUAAUUUUGGCAAAAAAAUAAUUGUAUCUCAAUUUUAAGCUUUUAAAAAAUUAUUAAUUGUGAUAUAUCUCAAAUUAAUAUAUUAAUUUUUUUAUUAUAAGGGUAUAAUAGUAAUUAAAAUUUAAAAAUAAAUUUACUGUUAAAACAAACGGUGUUUGUUAACGGAAAGGGGGUUAUAAGUCCUUUUUGAAACGUUGAAGGAUUUUUUGUCCAUUUUCCUAAACGUUGGGGGGUUAAAUGUCAUUUUUCCUAAAUAUUAUUUACUGACAAAUUGUUUGGCAUUUAUUUUAGGGAGAGUGACAUUUUAUUUCUUCUUAAAAUUUAUUUCUAACACUUUAACUUUUAAUAUAUGUUUAAUACACCAUUUUAUUCAGAUGUUUGAACAGUUACUAACAAAAUACAGUUUUGAACGGUAAAAGUUAUAUUUCAAUAAAUAACUUAACUAAUUUUUAAUCUGCAGAGGUUUGGGCUAGCCAAUUUGGACAUGAGAAUGUCACCUUUAUUCUUCAACGACCUGUAUUUUUUCUAUUGUCGUUUUAACUCCAAAGAUGAAAUGAGAUAAAGAAAAAAAAAAAAAAGCUACUAGGGACUAAAUAGGUAAAUAGAAAGUUUAGGAGGGAUUAAAAUACUAUUCUUCUUUUAGUUUCUAUAUUUUAAGUUAAGUAUUUAUUUAAUCCCUAUUUUUAAAAAGUAUCUCAAGACAAUCAUGUUGCAAAACGUGUUACACUCCUAUCCUUUCUUUAUUUUUUAUUUUUCAAUAAUACAUUUGCAAUAAUAUUCUUGAAGAUAUUAAUAAAUAGGAAAAAAAUAGAAACUUAUCAAAUUAACCUUAAAAGUAAUAUAAAAAAUUACACAAACUUUUAUAUUAUUAUUUUACGUUUAGGAUUAAUUUAAUAAAUUCAUUUUUUAUAAAAUAAUUAUUCAUAAGAUUGUUGUAAGGUUAUUAAAAAUUAUUUUAAUUGACUGAUAUUAAUUUGUUUAUAAAUCAUUAUUAGUAAAAUUGUUGCACGGUACAAAAAAUACUAUUUCUUUCACAUAGAUAUUUAUUGGUUAAUUUACUAAUAAAUGACGAAUAAUUAAUUUACCAAUUAACUUUUUUAUAGAUAAAUUAAUUAAUGUCAAGAAUAUUGUUGGAAGGGCUAAAUAGAAAGAAAAACUAAGGGUAAGAAUGUAACGUAUUUAACUACAAGAGUGUUUUGAAGUAUUAUAUGGGUGCCAAAAGACUUAUUUGUGUUAUUUCCACGAGUUAAAAGACUUAUUUGUGUUCUUGUUUGUAGAGAAAGUAGAAUAUUUAUGUGUUAUGUUUCUCAUUCUUAAUCCAUAACUCUUCUGUUGGACAUGUGUCCUAUUUUCGUUGGCUGUUGAUUUCUCAUCAUUAAUCCAUAACUCUUCUAUUGGACAUGUGUCCUACUUUCGUUAGUUGUUGAGAUUUCUUGAUGAAAUUUUGCUAUGAGGAAAAAUAUAAAAUAGUAAGUAAAGAUUAAUAAAAUCACCUCAAGUAUUUUUUUGAGAUAAAGGUCAGCUCAUGCGCUUUAGAAAUGAUCAACUUAGUUUUUAAGCUAUUUUCAUAUUUAGAUAUUGAGCAUGUUGUCGUAUAUUCUAUUUUUUUAUAUCCACAUGGUGGCAUUUUUUUUUUUUUUUUGGGGGGUAUAACAGAUAAUAUAUGUGCCCUCGCCCCUCGCUCUUUGAAAUUCUAAUGCAUCGGAUACAAGGUAAUUCAUAUAAAAAAGACAAUUUUAAUAAGAUAAUCUUCGAAUACUCUCAUUGAUGAUGUGAACCCUUACCCGCAGCCUCUGCAGUAAAGCCUUCACUAGCUGGCUAAGCCCUUAAUUAGUAAUGACACAUUAAUAAUAUGAUCAAUCGACCAUUGAUCUUCUUGGUAUCACAAUGAAUCCCAUGUUUCAAGCAUGCAAUGAAAGAAAAAGGUAAAUGUCUGUUUAUCUGCCCAUUUGUGAGUUUGCUUGGAUUUUCUUUCAAGCCCUCGAGUCAAUGAAGCAAUUAAAAUUAACGAAAAAGUAAAACGACCCAAAUUCAUAACUCUCCCUACAAAAUGGCAUCCAUUCAGUAGUGAAUGCACUCCAAACCAGCCAGUUCGUUAGGGAGUUUUUGAAAUUAUUUCAUCAUGAGCAAAUAUCAAUUAACUAGUUUCUUGAUUGUCCUCUUGAACUUGGGCACUUUGGUCUCUUCUCUAGCUAAUGACCACUCAUAUAAUCCUCCUCCUCCUCCCCCCGUUACAAAACCACCACCCCCCCAAAAGUUGAAACCCACUCCUCCUCCUCCGGUUUUAAAACCACCACCGCCGGCGCCGCCAAAGCUGAAACCUCCUCCUCCUCCUCUAGUUGUAAAACCACCACCGCCGGCGACGCCAAAGGUGAAACCUCCUCCUCCUCCUCCAGUUGUAAAACCGCCGCCGCCGCCACCGCCAAAGGUGAAACCUCUUCCUCCUCCUCCAGUUGUAAAACCACCACCACCGCCGCCAAAGGUGAAACCUCCUCCUCCCCCUCCAGUUGUAAAACCACCACCACCACCAAAUGUGGGAUACCCACCGCCACCAACACAACAAACUUGUUCAAUUAAUGCUCUCAAGCUUGGUGCAUGCGUCGAUGUUCUUGGUGGUUUAAUUCACAUUGGUCUUGGCGACGGUGCUAAGGAGAAAUGCUGCCCAUUGCUUUAUGGGCUAGCUGACUUGGAUGCUGCAAUAUGUCUUUGCACUGCCAUUAAAAUUAAGGCUCUGAGUCUCAUCGAUAUUCUCGUACCCAUCUCUUUGCAAGUACUUGUCAGCGACUGUGGCAAACAUCCGCCAGCCGGAUUUCAGUGUCCUAUCAAUUAAUUGUUGACGCCCCAUGCAUAUCAUGCAGUCUACGUGAAAAGGAGAUCUUAAUAGAUCGUAUUAAUAAUUGCAUGUUACUAGUUUCGUUUAAUUUCUCAUAAAAAAAAUAAUAAUAAUAACGUGUGAGAGCUUCAAGUUAGUAGUACUUGAAGGCACGUGCAUGUGUACGUUUGUCUUAUUCAACAAUGAUAUCGCUUAUUAAUUGUGACACCAAUAUUGUAUGUUGUGCAAUCCAAAAAAGAAAAAAAAUGAAAAAUGAAUGUUGUGGAAUAAAUAUUAUUUAUUGAUAAAUUGUUGGCAUUUUUUUUAGGGAGAGUGACAUUUUAUUUCCUCUUAAAAUUUAUUUUUACCAGUUUAAUUUUUAGUAGAUGUUUAAUACCCUAGUUCAUUCUGAUGUUUGAACAGUUAUUAAAAAAAUACACUUUUGAAAGGUAAAAGUUACAUUUUAAUAAAUAAUUUAACUAAUUUUAAUUUGCAGAGGUUUGGGCUAGCCAAUUAGGACAUGAAAAUGUCACCUUUAUUCUUCAGCAAUGUAUUUUUUUCUAUUAUCAUUUUAACUCCAAUGAGGAAAGGUGAUAAUAAAAAAAUUAAAAAAAAAUUAGCUACUAGGGAUUUAACAGGUAAAGAGAAGGUUUAGAAAGGAUUAAAAUUUUAUUCUCCUUAUAUUUCCCAUAUUUUGAGUUAAGUGUUCUUUUAGUCCUUAUAUUUAAAAACUAUCUCAAGACACCUUGUUAAUUAUUAUGUUGCUCUCGUAUUCUUAAUUUUUCUAUUCUUUUACAAUAAUAUCCUUGUCAUAAUAUUCCCGAGGAUGUAAUAAUAUCCUUGAGGAUAUGAAUAAAUAGAAAAAGUAAUAAUUUAUCAAAUUAACCAUAUUAUUAUUUUACUUUUAGGAUUAAUUUAUUAAAUUCAUUUUUUAUAAGACAGUUAUUCAUAAGAUUGUUGUAAAGAUAUUAAAAAUUAUUCUAAUUGGCUAAUAUUAAUUGUUAUAAAUCAUUAUUAAUAAAUUUGUUGCACAUGUACAAAAAAUACUACUUUUUUCACACUGAUAUUUAUUGGUUAGUUUACUAAUGAAUAACUAAUAGUUAAUUUUGUUAGCCUAAAAUGGUCACACAUAUUGUAAUUUUGAUGAUAACAAACACGUGUCUUAAGUGAUUUGAAAAAUAUUGUAUUUCACAUUUUGACUAGUUAUUGAAAGAUAAUAUUUAUAAGGAAGUGAAUCACGUGAAAUCAAACUUAAGACACUCAACGGAAAAUGGCGUGAUCAAGAAUAAAGUUUAGAGCUUAACAGACUCAUUAUUGCAACAAUUCUUGUAAAGCCGGUAUGAUUUAAUAUAUGUAUGACUUAGUAUUUGAGAAACUCAAGAUUUUUAAUAAAUCAUCAUUUUUCAUAAACUAAAGGUUUUAUAAUUAUAAGCCAAGUAUUUUAUGAAGUUAGUUAUUUUUCAAGAUGUGGACUAAAAUGAAAAAGUUUUGUAAUCUUUGAUUUUAAUAAGUGUUGUUUUGAAUUUUGGAAUUGGACUUAUUUGUAAAUAUUUGAAACGUUUUGAGCUAUACUAUAAUUUAUAAACGUAUGAGGGCCUGAGUGUAGAUAUCCUAAAUAGAUAGAAUGUUAGCGGCUAACGGCCUGUGGACUAGCGGCUAGCCACUUGAGGAAAACUUCACAUUUUCAAAUUUUGGACUAAAAUGAAAAAAGUUUUGAAAACUUUAAAAUUUAUAAGUAUUAUGUUAAAUUUUGAAAAGGACUGUUUUGAAAAUUAUUAUCAUGUAUUGGGUCAUAUCACAAUUUUAAAAAUUUUUAGAAAUAACAAGUAUUAUUUAGAAAUUAUGAGAUUGGACCGUUUGUAAAGUUCUAUGACGUUUUGGGCCAUAGUAUAAUAAUUGUUGCAAAAUUCAAAUUUAAUGGUAACUUUACUGUUCUGAAGCGGGGAGCCAGAUAAAUUAAGCGGCUAACCGCUUGGUUGCUGGAAUUUGCCUAUAACGGCUAGCAACUUCAAUUUCAAGACUCUUGCAAGUAUAAAUAAGUGUAAACAACAUAUUUGGAGCUUUCAAAUUAGAAAAUCAUUAUAGAUUAAAUCUUCAUUGAGAUAUCAUUUGUUCAUUCACUCUAAAAGAAAGUUCUUUGUUGUAAUCUUUAUUUUCUUAUCAAAUUUGUGAGUGUAUAAGUGUGAGAAAUACUUGAGCGAAGAGAUUGAGAGAUAAUCUCUUGGUUGCAAAGAUUUAUUGACACCUUAGAAGUCAAUUGUAAAGAACUUGAAGUUAUGGGAAGCUUGGAUAGUGAAAUCCUCGAGCUUGGUUGACUUGAAGGCGUGGACGUAGGCGGGGAUUGCCGAACCACGUAAAAAUUGUUGUGUUUGCUCUCUCUUCCCUUACUCUUUUAUUAUUGUGCUUUAUUGAAGUUAUUGUUUUUUAUUUGAUUAAUGCAAUAGAUUAAAUUGUUGUGCGACAUAUUUAGCGUAAGUUUUAAAAUCUCAAUUCAACCCUUUCUUGGGUUGCAUAACUUGCAUUUCAAAUUUACCAAUUAACUUUUUUUAUAGACAAAUUAAUUAAUGUCAAGAAUAUUAUUGGAAGGGUUAGAUAAAAAUAAAAAGUAAGGGUAAGAAUGUAACAUAUUUAACUAUAGGAGUGUUUGAGGCACUUUUUAAAGUAUAACGGCUAAAUUGGCAUUUAAAUCAAAAUAUAGAGAUUAAAUGAGUAUUUAAACAUCAUUAUUAAUUCUUUCUUUUUCUUGGUUUUUCUUAUUUUUAUUCCCUGUUGCUGCUGAGGUUCAUUUGAAAAAUAGUUAUAUUAAUUUUUUUUUUUAUAUUUUCAAAGAAUAUCUAAGCCUAAUUUGAUAACAAUAUCUAUUUCAUCUGCGACAUUAAGAUGUAAAAGAAAGCACAUUUUUUAAAUUUUUUAUGGCCUUUAAUAUCAAUCUAAUGUGAUGUGUAUAUCAGAAGGUAGAGAUAAUUAUUCAUUUAAAGAUUGCCAAUAUUUAUUUAAUAAUAAUAAUUUCCUUUAUUGCAUGGCCAAUUUAAAAUAAGAGAUCGUAUGACUAGUAUGUGAAAAAGAAAGAAACGACUAAAACACAUUAGCAGACAACAAUUCCAUAAAAAAAAUUAUACUUGGGGUGAAAAGAAAAAUUACCUCUCAAAAAAAAAAACUAGUCAAUAAUAAUAACAUAAUAAAAAAAAUUAUUUGUACAAACAAAUGUGACAUAACAAUAUUCUUUGAAUGAAAACAUAAAUAAAUAAAUAAAUAAAAAUAAUGUGAGUUAAGUGGCAUUUUUAUUCAACCAAUGCUGAAUGCUAUAUUAAUUUGUACCUUGUACAAGAUAAUUUAUAAAAGAAGCUUGCAACUCUGUCAUCGCUGAAAAAGAAUUAUAUAUGUGUGCUUGAAUUUAAGAUGCUCAUGCAAUCGUUUGGAAAGAGGUUCUCCAACGGAGAUAUCAAAGUUGCUCACUCAUGAUAUGUUCAUGGGUCUCCCACGCUCUUUUUUUUUUUUAAUGGUUUCUCUCCUGUAAUUUUAGUUGCAUUUGCUUCCUUUUUUUUAAUAUUAUGGUUUUUUUUACGAUAUUGAAUCUUUUUCUUUUAGAGAUAAGAUUCAUUAUGUCUUUAGGUUAAGAUUCAAUGCUCAAGUGAACUUGUUCGCAUUCUAAUUCUGAGCUAAUUUGAUUUACUUUAGUUUUUUAAUUUUAUAUUAAUGAAUUCUCUCGCCUUGUGGAAAUUCGAUCCCUUUUUAAAAUAAAAAUGCCAUAAUGUUGAUAUAUUUCAGAGUCAAAGAUUAAUUUCUUCAUUUCAAUUUUUCUCGAAGUCAGUCACUUUGGCCUUACUCUGCCACGAUAUGUUCUUGACUUUCAAAAGGUGGCACCACGGUCAUCGUUAAAGAAAAUAUUUACAAAUAAUAGUGAUGAAAAUAGACAAUGCACUCAAUUUUCUCUGAAUUAAGCAAAAAAUCAAUAAAAUGUCUAUGAAAUUCCUCCUUCCGCCAAAAUUUAUGAAAAAAGAAAAUGACCCAUUCAUUUUAUUUUGUACAUUUGUGCAAAUUGCCCCUCUGGGAAAAGAUGUUUGAGUAUUGCUGAAUACCUGUAAAUUAAAAAAACGAAAAUAUCUGUGCAGAGUUUGUUACCUUUUAUGGUUUAUAAUAACAGAAAAUUUUGAACCCCAUAUUUGAGAAGAUUUUAGCAUGCUUUCUCAAUCAUGGGCAAAACAAAGCACUACAUGUUAAUAAUAUAAUGCCUCAAUUAUCAGAACCGUGUUUUCUUGAUUCUCUUUAUCCUCCAAACUUUGAAAAGAUUAUCUCCUAAUCCUUGCUGACAGGAACCCAAUGCCAUGUGGUCAGUUUUGGUGACUGUAUGUAUGAUUAUUCUACAAUGAAGAUAAAUUAACCACAAAAACUAACUACUUCUUCUCCCAGCCCUAAACCACCAUCUGACGAACCGAAACCUUAUAGAAAGUGGAAAAUUUGUGAAAAAAAGAUAAAAGAAAAAUAUUUUACAGCUAUAUUUAGGAUUCCCUAAAGUUUUUAGUGAUAGAAACCCAAGCGAUGUGUAAUUUCAAUCUAUUUUAUGAGGAUGCAAGCCUUUAUUAUAAAAUAUUAUAAAAUAAUUAAAAAUUAGGAUUCCCUCACAAUCUUAAACUUCUAAACUAAAUUCAAAUGUGUGAUAGAUUGUUAAUAAAUAAAAGUAUAAAAGAUCUUUUAAAGUUCAAAGUGGCUUAAAUCACCAGAAAAUCUAAUCUCGAAAAUUAUUAAAUGAUUCAAAAAAUAUCUCAUAUUACCUAAAAAUAGUUAGUUAUUAGACUAUGAAAACAAGCUUACGGCAACCCUUAAUUAAACUUCUGUGCCUUUCAAUGAAAACAAGAAAAAUUUGAAGUUUAAAUUAGAGUUUCUAAAAAUUAUAUUAAAAAACUAUUAAAGUUUCAUAGUAGUGCUAGGAAAUAACUUCAAAUGCUAUUUUGAAAUCCAUAAGAGAGGAAUUGGCAAAAAUAUAACUGUUCUUAUAGUCUAAGGGUGUGUUUGACACAUUGUAUUGUAUUAUGUUGUAUUGCAUUAUUUUAAUGCUGGUGUAUUGUAUUAUGAUGUAUUGCAUUAGCACUGUAUUAUAAUAAUGUUGUACAAUAUUUGAUGCUACACUUUAUUAUAUUAAUGUUUUUGUGAUUAACUUAAAUUAUAUAUUUAGAAAAUAAAAUUUAUUAGUACCUAGAAAAAUAUAAAAUAUAGAAGUCUUAAAUUUUAGAAAUUUAACAUUAUUUUUUAGUAUAAAUAUUAAAAAAACAUUUUUUUUCAUAAAGAUUGAAGCUUAUAGCCUUAUAAUCGACAACAUAACAUUUAUUUUAAAUUAAUAUUAUUUAAAUUUAUUCAUAUAUAAAUAUUUUUAUUAAAUUUUUCUAUAUUAAUUACUAUAAUAUAAUUAAAUAAUGUAAUAUCAAGCUAUAUUCUUAUUUUUAUAUAUUAUUUAAGUACUUAUUAAUCAAUUUGAUAUAUUAAUUAUUAUAUAAUUAAAUAAUACAUUAUUUAGUAAUAUUUUUAAUAUAAUAAAAAUUAAAAUAUGAAUAACAAUUUAUUAAUUUAUAUGAAUAAUUAUGAUAUAAAAAUAAAGAAAAUAAAAAUUUAUAUUAUAUUUAAAAGUUAUAUUAUUUAUUAUUAUUAAAAAAACAAAAGCAAAAGUAAAAAAAAAAAAAAAGAGGCAGCAAAUGCAAAAGCACAAAAGCUAAUGCGGCAGUUUCCCGACUCCCAGUCGGGUUUAGCUAAUGCGGCAGUUUCCCGCAUUAGCAUACCCCUUAAUCCCUUGUAAAAUUUUGCCAACAUGAUAUUGGUAUUAAGCUAAUGUGAACAGUAUUUUAAUACACUAUAAUACCAUGCACCAA
rnacentral:lncRNA from 1 species